UGGGGAAUUUUGGACAAUGGGCGAAAGCCUGAUCCAGCAAUGCCGUGUGUGUGAAGAAGGCCUUCGGGUUGUAAAGCACUUUUGUCCGGAAAGAAAUCCUUGGCUCUAAUACAGUCGGGGGAUGACGGUACCGGAAGAAUAAGCACCGGCUAACUACGUGCCAGCAGCCGCGGUAAUACGUAGGGUGCAAGCGUUAAUCGGAAUUACUGGGCGUAAAGCGUGCGCAGGCGGUUUGCUAAGACCGAUGUGAAAUCCCCGGGCUCAACCUGGGAACUGCAUUGGUGACUGGCAGGCUAGAGUAUGGCAGAGGGGGGUAGAAUUCCACGUGUAGCAGUGAAAUGCGUAGAGAUGUGGAGGAAUACCGAUGGCGAAGGCAGCCCCCUGGGCCAAUACUGACGCUCAUGCACGAAAGCGUGGGGAGCAAACAGGAUUAGAUACCCUGGUAGUCCACGCCCUAAACGAUGUCAACUAGUUGUUGGGGAUUCAUUUCCUUAGUAACGUAGCUAACGCGUGAAGUUGACCGCCUGGGGAGUACGGUCGCAAGAUUAAAACUCAAAGGAAUUGACGGGGUCAUAGCUGUUUCCU
rnacentral:rRNA from 1 species